UAGUUUCAGGGACAGAGAGAAGACCGGACAGAAGCGUUCUUUCCCUCUCUUUGGGGAAGGCUCCCGCUGUUUUCUCCGGGUGUGGUUUCCCACCUGAAUUGGGGGUUUCUCCCCGAGUCUGCUGGGCUCCAGCACGCUGGAUGAGCCCGGAGCCCCAUCAAGGCAGAAAGGGCAGCAGCCACAGGGGAUGCCUGGGGAGAAGGAGCAAAACCAGAGCACGGCUCCUUCGGUGCCAAAGUCGCAAGCUGCCGCGACUGCCGAGCCAAAGGCCGUUCCCGUGCGAGGAGGCGAGCUCACAGCCCUCGCCGGGGCAGCGCCACAGAAGUGUGCCAGCAGGACGGAGCAUUCGCACGGCGCCUUAUCUCUGCUGAGGGCAGCGCAAACCUCGCUGCUGUAUCCUUGAGCGUGCCCAAUUAUCCCCGUUUACAGCAGCUUUAGGAAAAUACGAUUUUGACAGCAGUUGAAUGCGCUUGAAAACGGCGUUACGUACUGAUCUCAGCCACCUGAAAUUGGGGUCAAAAAUGAGCCUUCGAGGUCGGUGCUGCUCCCCGCUCCACCAGCUUCAGGUGAGCUCGUGUUUGGCUGCCCCUCGCCUGCCUCCGGCAGGAACCUCUCCCCGUCCCAAGGAUCCUGAAGCUCAAAGGCUGCAGUUUCAGGAGUGCUGACCUGGGCAGCUGAAGGUGGCUGGGUCUUCAGGGCACAGUGAAAACCUCUUGCAAAGCAUUUCUUGAGAUCUACUAACCGAGAGGAUUAGUUGCGUGUGUGUUUUUUUUUAAAGUAAUUACUUGAAUAAAUGUCUGCUCUCCAAACUUACAGGCCCCUUGGCAAGGAGCUGGGGCUUUAAUAUGUGAAUGAAUAAACUCUUUUGCAGCCUGACAGCGUGUACCUGCAGCAGCAGUAAAACCACAGCAGAAAUAAACCGACGUAACCAGCCGGUAAUUACCCAGAAACGCGCUCCCUUCCCCUCCUCACCUAAUUGCUGGGGCUUU